rnacentral:rRNA from 1 species
GAAGGUGGCUAGCGUUGCUCGGAUUUACUGGGCAUAAAGCGCGCGUAGGUGGUCCUGUAAGCGGGGGAUGAAAGCCCAUGGCUCACCCAUGGAACUGUCCUUCGGACUGCAGGGCUGGAGGGCGGGAGGGGAGAAUGGAAUUCCCGGUGUAGCGGUGAAAUGCGUAGAUAUCGGGAGGAACGCCGGUGGCGAAAGCGAUUCUCUGGCCCGUUCCUGACACUGAUGCGCGAGAGCUAGGGGAGCAAACAGGAUUAGAUACCCUGGUAGUCCUAGCUGUAAACGAUGGGCACUGGGUAGAGGAGGUGUCGAUACCUUCUUUGCCGAAGCAAAUGUGUUAAGUGCCCCGCCUGGGGAGUACGGUCGCAAGGCUAAA